rnacentral:rRNA from 1 species
UACGUAGGGUGCAAGCGUUAGUCGGAAUUACUGGGCGUAAAGCGUGCGCAGGCGGUGAUGUAAGACAGUUGUGAAAUCCCCGGGCUCAACCUGGGAACUGCAUCUGUGACUGCAUCGCUGGAGUGCGGCAGAGGGGGAUGGAAUUCCGCGUGUAGCAGUGAAAUGCGUAGAUAUGCGGAGGAACACCGAUGGCGAAGGCAAUCCCCUGGGCCUGCACUGACGCUCAUGCACGAAAGCGUGGGGAGCAAACAGG